AUACGGAAGGUCCGGGCGUUAUCCGGAUUUAUUGGGUUUAAAGGGAGCGCAGGCGGAGAUGCAAGCGUGACGUCAAAUUUCGGGGCUCAACCCCGUCUCGCGUCGCGAACUGCGUCCCUUGGUUGCGGGAAGGGGAGGCGGAACUCGUGGUGUAGCGGUGCAAUGCAUAGAUAUCACGAAGAACUCCGAUCGCGAAGGGAGCCUUCCGGCCCGUCAACGACGCUCAUGCUCGAAGGUGCGGGUAUCAAACAGGAUUAGAUACCCUGGUAGUCCGCACAGUAAACGAUGGACACCCGCGGUUUGGCCUGUAUGGCUGAGCCGCCAAGCGAAAGCGUUAAGUGUGCCACCUGGGGAGUACGCCGGCAACGGUGAAACUCAAAUGAAUUGACGGGG
rnacentral:rRNA from 1 species